rnacentral:rRNA from 1 species
CACGUGGGAACGCGCCCUUCGGUUCGGAAUAACUCAGGGAAACUUGAGCUAAUACCGGAUACGCCCUUACGGGAAAGAUUUAUUGCCGAAGGAACGGCCCGCGUCCGAUUAGCUAGUUGGUGAGGUAAUGGCUCACCAAGGCGACGAUCGGUAGCUGGUCUGAGAGGAUGACCAGCCUCACUGGGACUGAGACACGGCCCAGACUCCUACGGGAGGCAGCAGUGGGGAAUAUUGGACAAUGGGCGCAAGCCUGAUCCAGCCAUGCCGCGUGGAUGAUGAAGGCCCUAGGGUUGUAAAGUC